rnacentral:lncRNA from 1 species
GUGAGCGUGGCCUUGUCACCCACGCUUGUCGGCAGAAGUGCGGUAGUUGGCGUAAUGGACUUCACCCGUUUUCAACUUUGUCAGUGAUCUCUGACAAAGUUGCACGUGAUAGCCGAAAGCUGAGAUUGUGUCUGAAAAGUGUCGACGGACUUUACGCAGGAAAAUCCAGGUUUUGAAAUUCGGAGAGUGGUGUCUCUUCAAUUUAUGAACGAAUGGUUGUGCUGCCUCUCCUUUUAAAGAGGUGUCAAUUGUAUUCAACAUGCACAAUUUGAAGAUUGCCUGCCCGUGAAAAAUUAUCUCUGCUACUCUUUACUUCAUCCAACCUUUUUCUUUUGGUAUUUUUGAAAAUGGCUUCCCCUUUUAACAUUUGCUUAGAUUUGAGUCUUAGCAGUGACACAGGUGCACUGCGUCAGGGUAAUGUAUGGCGCCCGUCUUUUUUUUCUUCUAAUGGCC